rnacentral:rRNA from 1 species
UACGUAGGGGGCAAGCGUUGUCCGGAAUUAUUGGGCGUAAAGCGCGCGCAGGCGGUUCUUUAAGUCUGGUGUCUAAGUGCGGGGCUCAACCCCGUGAUGCACUGGAAACUGGGGAACUUGAGUGUAGGAGAGGAAAGUGGAAUUCCACGUGUAGCGGUGAAAUGCGUAGAGAUGUGGAGGAACACCAGUGGCGAAGGCAAUCCCCUGGGCCUGCACUGACGCUCAUGCACGAAAGCGUGGGGAGCAAACAGG